AUGUGCUGCAGCGCAUUGGUUCCACUCAGGAAGGAAACGCCAGCUUCACUUUGUCAGGAGACUACUUCAACAGAGAAUUGUCAGGCUGGGAGCCCUUCAUCGAGCCCUGGCCCUGCUUCCUCUCCUGGCAGCAGCAGGCAGCUGGCCGUAUCCACCCUCCACGUUUUAAGAUGGGAAUUCGAGCCAAGCAGAGACUGGACGUCAACAUCACUUCUGUCCUGUUGGAACAAUAUAACACCACCAAAAGCUCAUGGAUAGCUGACUACUGUAAGGAGGAGGAACAGACCCCCCAGUCUUCACCCCCCCAGCCCUGGAUGGGCUCCUCAGUCGACCCACCUAGCUUUGUACAGAAGAUCAGGGAACAGACGUGAAAGCGGCACAGCGACUCCAAACACGGAGCAGUCUGCUUUAUCAACCAACACCAGCAACACCAGUCCAGAACCAACAGCAGAAGGACCCGCUCUGAAUCAGUCCGUGUAGCUACGGCUCAGACACAUAGGGAUUUCU